AUACGGAGGGUGCGGGCGUUAAUCGGAAUUACUGGGCGUAAAGCGCACGUAGGCGGAUUGGAAAGUAGGGGGUGAAAUCCCAGGGCUCAACCCUGGAACUGCCUCCUAAACUAUCAGUCUAGAGUUCGAGAGAGGUGAGUGGAAUUCCAAGUGUAGAGGUGAAAUUCGUAGAUAUUUGGAGGAACACCAGUGGCGAAGGCGGCUCACUGGCUCGAUACUGACGCUGAGGUGCGAAAGCAUGGGGAGCAGACAGGAUUAGAAACCCUUGUAGUCC
rnacentral:rRNA from 1 species